rnacentral:tRNA from 4 species
GGGCUUGUGGCGGAACUGGUAGACGCGACGGACUUAAAAUCCGUUGGCCGCAAGGCCGUGUGGGUUCGAGUCCCACCAUGCCCA